rnacentral:rRNA from 1 species
GCAUAUCAAUAAGCGGAGGAAAAGAAACCAACAGGGAUUGCCCUAGUAACGGCGAGUGAAGCGGCAACAGCUCAAAUUUGAAAUCUGGCGCAAGCCCGAGUUGUAAUUUGUAGAGGAUGCUUCAGGGCAGCGGCCGGUCUAAGUUCCUUGGAACAGGACGUCAUAGAGGGUGAGAAUCCCGUAUGCGACCGGUUGGCACCCGUCACGUAGCUCCUUCGACGAGUCGAGUUGUUUGGGAAUGCAGCUCUAAAUGGGAGGUAAAUUUCUUCUAAAGCUAAAUACCGGCCAGAGACCGAUAGCGCACAAGUAGAGUGAUCGAAAGAUGAAAAGCACUUUGGAAAGAGAGUUAAAAAGCACGUGAAAUUGUUGAAAGGGAAGCGCAUGCAACCAGACUUGUCGGCGGUGUUCCGCCGGUCUUCUGACCGGUCUACUCGCCGCCGGCAGGCCAGCAUCAUCUGGGCGCGCCGGACAAAGGCGCGGGGAAUGUGGCUCCUCGGAGUGUUAUAGCCCCGCGCACAAUACGGCGCCGCUCGGGUGAGGUCCGCGCUUCGGCUAGGAUGCUGGCGUAAUGGUUGUCUGCGGCCCGUCUUGAAACACGGACCAAGGAGUCUAACAUCUAUGCGAGUGUUCGGGUGUCAAACCCCUACGCGGAAUGAAAGUGAACGGAGGUGGGAAGCGCAAGCUGCACCAUCGACCGAUCCUGAUGUCUUCGGAUGGAUUUGAGUAAGAGCAUAGCUGUUGGGACCCGAAAGAUGGUGAACUAUGCCUGAAUAGGGUGAAGCCAGAGGAAACUCUGGUGGAGGCUCGCAGCGGUUCUGACGUGCAAAUCGAUCGUCAAAUUUGGGUAUAGGGGCGAAAGACUAAUCGAACCAUCUAGUAGCUGGUUCCUGCGA